CCCGACCUAUGACAUGACCCUAGUCUACCAUCUCCACCACAACCACAACUCAAUAAGAGAAGAAAAUAUAAAGGCACACAAAUAGAUAAGGCUAACAAGAAACAAUGGUAAUAACGAAUAAAUCAGUACUGAAGCUUGAAGUUGUGCCCACUGUAUGCUAAGGAAACAAAUAAAAAUCUACAGGAAAGAAUCAAAAAUCAACAUUGUAUUCCAAAAGCAAUAAAUCUAUCAGAAAGAAACAAGAAUUAACAGCGUAUGCCACAAAC
rnacentral:lncRNA from 1 species